GUGCUUUUAUGAAUUGAGCUUAAAGUGAAUUUGAUUUUUCUAAGAAAAGUUAGAAGUUUUCCUAAAGACGAGAAGACCCCAAAAUCUUUAUUUUAAUUUAUAGGAUUUAAUUUUUAUUUGGGGGAAAGAUUGAUUUUUAUUUAUUGUUUUAUUAUUGCGAACUUUUUUAGGGUGUAUGGAUAGAUACUUUGGGGGUAACAGGAUUAUUUUCUUUUGAAGCUCUUAUUUUGGGGAAAGUUUAUUACCUCGAUGUGGGCUUUUGAUUUUAGUUGGGGGUAGCUUUUCAAACUAAUAGUCUGUUCGACUAUUAAAA
rnacentral:rRNA from 1 species